AUAUUGCACAAUGGGGGAAACCCUGAUGCAGCGACACCGCGUGUGGGAUGACGGCCUUCGGGUUGUAAACCACUGUUAGGGGGAACGAAGUUCAGCCGGGCGAACAGUCCGGUCGGAUUGACGGUACUCCCAGAGAAAGCCACGGCUAACUCUGUGCCAGCAGCCGCGGUAAGACAGAGGUGGCAAGCGUUGUCCGGAUUUACUGGGCGUAAAGGGCGUGUAGGCGGUUCCACAAGUCGGCCGUGAAAAGCGUCGGCUCAACCGAAGCAGGGCGACCGAGACUGUGGGGCUUAGAGUGCGGGAGAGGGAAGUGGAAUUCCCGGUGUAGCAGUGAAAUGCGUAGAUAUCGGGAAGAACACCAAUGGCGAAAGCGACUUCCUGGCCCGCUACUGACGCUGAGGCGCGAAAGCCAGGGGAGCGAAC
rnacentral:rRNA from 1 species